UACGAAGGGGGCUAGCGUUGCUCGGAAUCACUGGGCGUAAAGGGCGCGUAGGCGGCCGAUCAAGUCGGAGGUGAAAGCCCAGGGCUCAACCCUGGAAUGGCCUUCGAUACUGGUUGGCUCGAGACCGGAAGAGGUAAGUGGAACUGCGAGUGUAGAGGUGAAAUUCGUAGAUAUUCGCAAGAACACCAGUGGCGAAGGCGGCUCACUGGCCCGGUACUGACGCUGAGGUGCGAAAGCGUGGGGAGCAAACAGG
rnacentral:rRNA from 1 species